UACAGAGGUCCCAAGCGUUGUUCGGAUUCACUGGGCGUAAAGGGUGCGUAGGCGGCUUUGUAAGUCAGUGGUGAAAUAUGGCAGCUUAACUGUCAGGGUGCCAUUGAUACUGCGGAGCUUGAGUACAGAUGAGGUAGGCGGAAUUGACGGUGUAGCGGUGAAAUGCUUAGAUAUCGUCAAGAACACCUAUAGCGAAGGCAGCUUACUAGGCUGUAACUGACGCUGAGGCACGAAAGUGUGGGGAUCAAACAGG
rnacentral:rRNA from 1 species